GGGCACCAAGUACACCAGGAAAAUAAUGCCUGAUGGCCCCUUAAAAAAUGGUUCAUGAUGCCCAUGUCAUGAGGUUUUCUAAUGGAAGUGAGGUGAAGGAGAGCGAGGAGGAAGAGAGGGUAAAGGCGAGUUUAGCUUGCAUAGCAGGCUCUUCCUCUAUCAUGGACUAUCAGCUAGAUGGUUGAUCGAACAAGUGCCAACCAUAUUGGCAGGAUAUUUAUGAUUGACAUCUGGAUGAAAACCAGGUUUGAUUUUUUUUUUUUUUUUUUUUUUUUUUUUAAUAUAAAUAUAUUCAAGUCUUAUUUGCUACUGUUAUGUUAAUAGAAUCACAAAUACAUGGAAUUCCAAAAACAUCCAGUAUGUUUUGUUUUCUUUUAAUUAUUAUUAAUCAGCAAUGGCUAAAAAAAAAAAACUACUUGAAACAUAUUUUAUAAUUCUUUGUAUAAUUUUUGUUUAAAUUUUAUAUGUUUUGGCAAAUUGAUGGCAAAUUUGUAUGAAUUUGAACAAUCUCAUUAGUACGUUUUUGUACG